rnacentral:tRNA from 1 species
GCUAGCGUAGCUUAAAAUCAAAGCAUAGCACUGAAGAUGCUAAGAUGAGUCCUAAAAAAUCUCCGCA